rnacentral:rRNA from 1 species
GAUGAACGCUGGCGGCGUGCCUAAUACAUGCAAGUCGAGCGAACGGACGAGAAGCUUGCGUCUCUGAGGUUAGCGGCGGACGGGUGAGUAACACGUGGAUAACCUACCUAUAAGACUUGGAUAACUUCGGGAAACCGGAUCUAAUACCGGAUGAUAUUUUGAACCGCAUGGUUCAAAAGUUAAAGACGGUCUUGCUGUCACUUAGAGAUGGAUCCGCGUUGCAUUAGCUAGUUGGUAAGGUAACGGCUUACCAAGGCAACGAUGCAUAGCCGACCUGAGAGGGUGAUCGGCCACACUGGAACUGAGACACGGUCCAGACUCCUACGGGAGGCAGCAGUAGGGAAUCUUCCGCAAUGGGCGAAAGCCUGACGGAGCAACGCCGCGUGAGUGAUGAAGGUCUUCGGAUCGUAAAACUCUGUUAUUAGGGAAGAACAUAUGUGUAAGUAACUGCGCACAUCUUGACGGUACCUAAACAGAAAGCCCCGGCUAACUUCGUG